UAGCUAGUUGGUGGGGUAAGGGCCUACCAAGGCGACGAUCGGUAGCUGGUCUGAGAGGAUGACCAGCCACACUGGAACUGAGACACGGUCCAGACUCCUACGGGAGGCAGCAGUGGGGAAUAUUGGACAAUGGGGGCAACCCUGAUCCAGCAAUGCCGCGUGUGUGAAGAAGGCCUGAGGGUUGUAAAGCACUUUCAGUGGGGAGGAGGGUUGAUAGGUUAAGAGCUAAUUAACUGGACGUUACCCACAGAAGAAGCACCGGCUAACUCCGUGCCAGCAGCCGCGGUAAUACGGAGGGUGCGAGCGUUAAUCGGAAUUACUGGGCGUAAAGGGUGCGUAGGUGGUUGAUUAAGUUAUCUGUGAAAUUCCUGGGCUUAACCUGGGACGGUCAGAUAAUACUGGUUGACUCGAGUAUGGGAGAGGGUAGUGGAAUUUCCGGUGUAGCGGUGAAAUGCGUAGAGAUCGGAAGGAACACCAGUGGCGAAGGCGGCUACCUGGCCUAAAACUGACACUGAGGCACGAAAGCGUGGGGAGCAAACAGGAUUAGAUACCCUGGUAGUCCACGCUGUAAACGAUGUCAACUAGCUGUUGGUUAUAUGAAAAUAAUUAGUGGCGC
rnacentral:rRNA from 1 species